rnacentral:rRNA from 1 species
GGGGAAUUUUCCGCAAUGGGCGAAAGCCUGACGGAGCAAUACCGCGUGAGGGAGGAAGGCUCGUGGGUCGUAAACCUCUUUUGUCAGGGAAGAAGAACUGACGGUACCUGACGAAUCAGCAUCGGCUAACUCCGUGCCAGCAGCCGCGGUAAUACGGAGGAUGCAAGCGUUAUCCGGAAUCAUUGGGCGUAAAGCGUCCGCAGGUGGCAAUUCAAGUCUGCUGUCAAAGCCCGGGGCUUAACCCUGGAGAGGCAGUGGAAACUGAAUUGCUAGAGUACGGUAGGGGUAGAGGGAAUUCCAGGUGUAGCGGUGAAAUGCGUAGAUAUCUGGAAGAACACCAGUGGCGAAGGCGCUCUACUGGGCCGUAACUGACACUCAUGGACGAAAGCUAGGGGAGCGAAAGGGAUUAGAUACCCCUGU